rnacentral:rRNA from 1 species
UAAGCGGAGGAAANGAAACUAACANNGGAUUCCCCUAGUAACUGCGAGUGAAGCGGGAAAAGCUCAAAUUUAAAAUCUGGUGGNCUUUGNCCAUCCGAGUUGUAAUUUAGAGAAGCGUCUUNCGCGCUGGACCGUGCACAAGUCUCCUGGAAUGGAGCGUCAUAGAGGGUGAGAAUCCCGUCUUUGGCACGGACACACCAGGGCUUUUGUGAUGCGCUCUCAAAGAGUCGAGUUGUUUGGGAAUGCAGCUCAAAAUGGGUGGUGAACUCCAUCUAAAGCUAAAUAUUGGCGAGAGACCGAUAGCGAACAAGUACCGUGAGGGAAAGAUGAAAAGCACUUUGGAAAGAGAGUGAAACAGUACGUGAAAUUGUUGAAAGGGAAACGCUUGAAGUCAGUCGCGUCGCCCGAGACUCAGCCUUGCCUCGGCUUGGUGUACUUCUCGGCUGACGGGUCAGCAUCAAUUUUGCCCCUUGGAUAAUGGCGAGGGAAAUGUGACACCUUUACGGGUGUGUUAUAGUCUCUCGUCGCAUGCAAGGGUCGGGAUUGAGGAACUCAGCACGCGCCUUUCGGCGUCGGGGCGUUCGCCCACGAUACGUGCUUAGGAUGUUGGCGUAAUGGCUUUAAACGACC